ACUGCUUAGCAUAGAACAAACCAGCUCUCUAUUACAACACGAAUAUGAUUACAAGGGUUCCGAUAUUACAAUGAAUAACACCGGCAUGGCGACACUACGCCAACCACGGUUGCUCUAUACAAGCAGCAUAAUACUUGAAGCAGCGGAGCAACUACUGGCAGCGGAACAACGAACGACGAUGAUGGACUCCAAUCAUCAGGGACUGUGGCUGGAACAUUUAUCCUAGCUCGCGAACACAGGAACAACACCAAACAAGCAAGCAAUCCAGGCACGACCUGCAAGCUGGCAUGACACGCCAGGUCAGUACAUUGAAUGUACUUGCAAGCUCACAAUAACCAGAAGCAUUCAAGACAAACAACAGCAUGGCAGUUACAGGUUAAACAGGAAUUAACAUGAGAUCAUUAUAACAACAUGACAUGAGCACAUGAUAUCCAAAGUAAUACUCCAAAUAAUACCAGAUACCAUCAUGAAAAUAUCCACUAAGAAUCCAAAGGCAAUAUGAACCUGAUACAGCUAGAACAAUAUGAGCAUAGCAUGAACAUAUAAAUCUGACGAUACUAGCAUGCAACAUGAUGACACUAUAUGCACCAAUUAUUCUGCUCGGGUUAUCUCGUAACCAUCACGUGCAUCACUUAUCCACCUCAGACAUUACACGAUCAUCUCAGGAUCAAAUCAAGCUUGGUAUAAAAAAUACCGUAGUAAUCAUUAAAUGACCACAAGGAGCUUGAUCUUUACCCAUGAUUUCUCACACAACAUCACGAAUAUCCAACAACUCGGUAUCCUCGAUACCACGGUGAUCAUUACGUCGAUCACAACCAAAGUAACUCAUGAUCCUUAUGGUGAUCAUCACCAAAGUAACUCGUGAUCCUUACGGCGAUCACCACCAAAGUAACUCGUGAUCCUUACGGUGAUCACCACCAACUUAUUUCAUCAUGGAACCGGGGUUGUCAUUAAUCAAGUUAUUAUUAAUACUGUUGACUCACGGUGGGACCGACACGAACUGGGUCCUUAUCCGCGGGCGCGGCUACCGAUAGAUUUAAUAUACACUUUGCAGAGGUAGCACACUAUACCCACACCACGGAACCCAUGGCCUCACACUCCCAUUCGGGUGGACCAACGGCAUUCCGACAAAACUGAUCUACUGACGUGACACUCUCCCGGCCACUCCGACCCACUCCCAACUGGGCUAGUCCUGGGUGGCCCCGUGUCUACCAAAGACACCCCGACCACCGUCAUGGUCAAAACUCCCUCACGGGGACCGGAUCCAUAAAACUAAAAACAACGGGCACACAAGGUUAUGUCUGCUUACCGGGCCAGGGUACCGCACGCCCGUAACCUUCCCUACUUGGAGGCACCGGCGAGAUGCACGACAAUAGACCUAGUUAGGACCUUACCCAUCCGGUAAGUGUGGUUGCACUGGCCAGUUUCGAUCUGGCGGCACCAUGACUCAACCAACAGUUCUUUAAGUUCAAUUAAAUCCGGUUAAACUUGAAUGCAAAAUGCUGAGCCAUGAUAAAACAACAUGAUGCAAUUACAAUGCAUGAGCAUGAUAUCAACAUAAUCACGGGAUGCAACAUAACUAUCCACCACAUCAACUAUGAAAUAAUCUCCAACUAAACGUGACAUAAUGAGGAGCAUAAAUAUUACAAGUGCAACACUACUCAUAGCAUAACAUGACCAUUAUCAUCAACCAUAAAUAACAUGCAAGAACUCAUCAAUAAUAUCACUGAGUAAUACUUAACCAACUAACAACAACGGAACAAUGCCUAUUAACAGUACUCGGUAACCGACGUUAGUCAUGCACCGAAGAGCAUGACCAACCCAACAUGUACUACUAUCUAGCAUGGAAAUAUGAAAGCAAUACUAGCAACUAGCAGGGCAGGAUAAACAGGUGCAUAACAACAUAACAAACAAGUAAGCACAAUCCCAAAAGCAUUUCCGAAACAAUGAUAACCAUAUUUUAAACAAGCAAUCAUUUAAGAAAUAUUCAAGUUGAAAACAAUGGCUACUGCAUGACUAUCAUGCAAGUGGGUAUUGUGGCUUGCCUGGGGUGACGGAGACUCCAGGAAGAAGUGCGGUGAAGCCGUGGAACGAAACGUCGGAC
rnacentral:lncRNA from 1 species